CCAGCUCCAAUAGCGUAUAUUUAAGUUGUUGCAGUUAAAAAGCUCGUAGUUGGAUUUUGGGUUGGGGAAUUCGGUCUGCCUACCGGCUGAUACUGUAUUUCCCAUCCUUCUUGCCGGGGACAGGUCCUGGCCUUCAUUGACUGGGGCCUGGAUUCGGCGAUGUUACUUUGAAAAAAUUAGAGUGUUCAAAGCAGGCCUAUGCUCUGAAUAAAUUAGCAUGGAAUAACGCGAUAGGACUCUGGUCCUAUUGUGUUGGUCUUCGGGACCGGAGUAAUGAUUAAUAGGGACAGUUGGGGGCAUUCGUAUUUCAUUGUCAGAGGUGAAAUUCUUGGAUUUAUGAAAGACGAACUACUGCGAAAGCAUUUGCCAAGGAUGUUUUCA
rnacentral:rRNA from 1 species